UAACAAAUAAGCUAAAUUUUUGUUUUCAAUGUUAAUGCAAAGAAAGGGAAAGGAAAGGGACAUGGCAUGCAAAUUAAAGAAAAGAUUUAACGAUGACAGCAAAUCUUUACAAGAUAGGUAGUCUUUAGACCAACAUUAUUGGUAGGAUCUUAGCCAUAAGAUUUACACUAGAGGGUAUCUAAUGUUGGUCUUAGUGUCUGGCUCUGUGGCCUCAAGGACUAGGUGGACCUCUUUGGCCGCUAGGUGAAGCUCCUUGGCCUCCAGGUGGUGAAAUACUUGGGUUUACAGAACCCUUGAUCUCGAAGACUAGGCCAUUUUGAUCCCAAACCUUUUCUGUUAUGUAUAGUUCAACAAAACAAAUCUUUAAAUACAAUUUUUUUAAGUAACCGAACUAAGAGACAAAAGAAGAUAUUUCUCAUAACUAGCUAGAUACUUACUUGUAUUAUGAGAUUUGUGAACGUAUUGUAAUCGAGCGGAGACUGUGUUUGUUGAUGCCACGAACAGGAGAAACAUCAAUGUUAUUAACCGAAUUGCCAUGUACAUCGAUCUUUCUUGGAUCUCAAGAUGUUAAGUAAACUCUUUAAUUAAGUUUUGUAAGAUGUUAAGUCUGUAUUUAAA
rnacentral:lncRNA from 1 species